rnacentral:lncRNA from 1 species
AAAAGAUAUGCACAAGCUCAGCUGGGUGUGGUGGCUCACACCUGUAAUCCCAGCACUGUGGGAGGCCAAGGCAGGCAGAUCACUGGAGGUCAGGAGUUUGAGACUAGGCUGGCCAACAUGGUGAAAUCCCAUCUCUACUAAAAGUACAAAAAUUAGCCAGGCGUGAUGGCAGGUGCCCAUAAUCCCAGCUACUCAGGAGGCUGAGGCAGGAGAAUCGCUUGAACCUGGGAGGCAGAGUUUGCAGUGAGACAAGAUUGCACCACUGCACUAUAGCCUGGGUGACAGAGCAAGACUCUGCCUCAAAAAAAAAAAAAAAGAUAUGCAUAAGCUCUAGCUACCCCACUCCUUUUUCUGUGAAUGUGACCUUAUUUGGAUAUACGGGUCUUUGCAGAUAUAAUUAAGUUGAGGAUCUCAAAAUGAGAUAAUGCUGGAUUUAAUCCAAUGAGAGAGAUCUGAGACCCAAAGAAACAGGGGAGACAGUCAUAUGAAGAAGGAGGCUGCUAUGGUUUGGAUGUGGUUUGUCCCCACUAAAACUCCUGUUGAAAUUUGAUCCCCAGUGUGGCAGUAUUGGGAGAUGGGAAGUGUUUGGGUCAUGGGAGCAGGUGUCUCAUGAAUAGGUUAAUGCCCUCCCAGUGGAGAGCAUUCUCAUUCUUGUGGGACUGGAUUAAUUACUGAAGAGCAGGUUGUUAUAACAGUGAGUUCAGCCUCCUAGACUCUCUCUCUUGCUUCCUCUCUCACCAUGUGAUCUUUUGGCACACACCCGCUUCCCCUUCCUCUUUCUUCCAUGAGUUGAAGUGGUGUGGGACCCUGACCAGUUGCAGCUACCCAAUCUUGAAUUUCCAGCCUACAGAACUGUGAGCUAAAUAAGCCUCUUUUCUUUAUAAAUUACCCAGUCUAAAGUGUUCUGUUAUAGCAACAAAAAUAAUGGACUAAGAAAAUGGUAGGAGACGCCCUGGCUUGGUGGCUCAUGCCUGUAAUCCCAGCACUUUGGGAGGCCAAGGCAGGCGGAUCACCUGAGGUCAGGAGUUCAAGACCAGCCUGACCAACAUGGUGAAGCCCCAUCUCUACUAAAAAUACAAAAAUUAGCCGGCCUUGGUGGCACGCACCUAUAAUCCCAGCUCCUUGGGAGGCUGAGGCAGGAGAAUUUCUUGAACCCAGGAGGCAGAGGUUGCAAUGAGCUGAGAUUCUGCCACUGCACUCCAGCCUGGGUGACAGAGCAAGACUGUGUCUGGAAAAAAAAAAAAAAAGUGAAAAUGGCAGGGGUUGAAGUUAUGAUCCCACAAGCCAAGGAGCUUCAAGAGCCACCAGAAGCAGAAAGGAUUCUCCUUGCAGCUUCUGGUGGCUGGAAGGAUUCUCCCCUAGAGCCUUCGGAGGGAGCAUGGCCCUGCUGACACCUUGAUUUCUGAAUUGUGGCCUCU